AUCAAGGAAAUGGAAGAAAAGAUGUCAUGCAUAACCAAGCACCACCUGUUAGUAUUGACUUUUGCACUUGUGCUACUCUUCCAUACUCCAGAAGCUCAAAAUACGCCUGUCCCAGUCUGCCAGCUUCCUGAAAAAAACAUAUCGCUGCAAGGGUACCCUCCGCCAUGCAUACGGCGGCCACCACCAGUACUUGGCAGUUCUUCCCCGUCUAUCGAUCAUGAACAGGACACCAAAUAUAAGAACACAACUCGUAACUGAUAAACCAACCCUCCUCAGUCAUCAUACAACAAAUAUUUCUUGAAUUUUAUUUGUAAGGAUAUUGCUAUUGUCUUAAAUUAGAUAUGAUAUUACUAUUAGCUAGGAUCUAUUUGGGCGAUUAUGAAAUUUUAAGAACAAGAAUAAAAGUCACCAUUAUUUAUGCGUGAUGAUUUGGCCGUCUCAUUGUCUAAAAUGAACUAAUGAUGGAGAGGCUGGGUAUGAUAGCCCUGUAUUAGUUCUAAUUUUAAAAAGAAUAGGUGACUUAGCUUAUGGAGUACUCGUAAUUAUUACUCGAUCGAUCAACCCAAAGGCAUCGGCAUAUAACGCAACUGUUUUCAAUUCUUCAUAUAUACAAGAAAUGUAUCUUGUAUUGUAAUUUAUUUCCAACUUAAACUUAAAAUAUAAUGCAGUUAAUACAGUCUGAUCUGUUGCAGUUUUAAUGUAAGAGAGUGUUAGAAGUCAAUAAUUUUUGUAAUUUGUAACUAUUAAAUAGUCAUCAAUAAUAAUUUUAAUGGUAUAAAAUUUUAU
rnacentral:lncRNA from 1 species